ensembl:lncRNA
AAGUUGCCUCCACCAGGCUUGGGCCCCAGCUUUCUCCUGUUAAUUGAGAUAAUGACCCAACUCCAAGAGCUGCUUCAGCUUGAAAGGGGCUUUGAGAUGCUGGGAUGAAAGGCGCUGGGUUGAGUACAAAGCACAGGGCAAGCUGUCCUGGGAGUGGGAGGCCUGGCCCGGGGCCUUCCCCGGCCCCCAUGCUGAGUCACUUCCUCCCUCCUGGCUGGAUUUUGCCUCUGUAACCCAGAGACACUGAACCCUCCUUUCAGGACGGCGUCUUGGGGGAUGUUCCCAGAGAGCGUGUGCAGGAUGCAGGCCUGGCAUCAACCUCGACUCACCACCAAAGGGCCCCAAGCCGGGAGGGGAGGGAGGUGUGUUGGCCUUGAUGCUGUGGGGCAGAUGCUACCACGCAUUUAUAGCUUCAUGACUCUCCUCUUAACUUGUCUGGGAGAGCGACGACUCAGGGAUGAGCAUCCCUCUGUUACACUUGAAGAAACUGAGGACCAAAGAGGUGGGAGGUUUCCCAAGGUCUCACAGCCCACCCGAGGAGAGAGCAGAUCCGAAGCCUCUGGCUCCCCACAUCCUUCCCCCAGAGGGCAGCCAGCCCCCCAUUACUCAUUCCUUUAAACAUGAGGCUCUCAUAGGAGCUUCACAGGACUGCACUGCACUUUGUAUUACCAGGGCUCUGAGGGAAGCACCAAUACUAGCUUUGCCUUCAAGGAAUUGCUCGACUAGUGUCUCUUUACUGGUCAUAAAGUAAAGGGUGAAGGAAAAAAAAAACAGUUGAACAAGGGAGUGAAGUCUUCUGGAAGGUCAGCGUGGAGAGGUGACAGCUGCCAAGGAAAGAUUCCCACGAUGGCCUCUGCCAAUGGAUUAGAACCGAGAAGUCAUCCAAGCAAGGCUGCUCCUGCUGGUCUUCAGGUGCCCUCCUUGAGACCGAGCUCCCCAGACCGGGCUGCUGGGGUUCCCUGCACCUGGUGGACCUCAAUUUCUCCCUCCUGAGGGACAGGGGUUCCCAUUCGGUGUGCCUACCAGUAGGUAGCAGUUCACAAGGCCCACUCUGAGCCAGUCCUGUGCUCAGAGAAACAAGGCAGGGUUCCCACCCUCACAGUAAAGCCGCCCAGUCUGACGGGGACGUGAUCCCAGACAGAAGGAAGGACGUCCAGGCCACGUGCUGUGGGGGCCACAGAAGGAAGGACCCACCAACUGAAGGCCCAGGAGGUUACAUGCUUGUGCUUUGGAACCGAGACCUCCCCCUUUCCGCUGUUUAAGCAUCUGCCCCCAAUUCAAGGCCGCUCCGUAAACUAACUAGACCUAGAUGGACCCAAAUCAAGCUCUAAGCAGGUUCUUCCCCUGGGAGCUUUCUCAUCCCUGGAAACCCAAAAAGGGUAAUAGCACGAGUCACCCUUGGGAGCAAGUUCUCAGACAUGAAGUCUCUGAGCAGCCCUGGCCCAGAGGGUGCACUCAGGAUGGGGCACUGUUACUUCACUUCUGGGACUUUCAAAUCCACGCUUGUUAGAAAGCAGUGGGAAGCGUUUGUGUGAACCGUGAAGAACCCUUCUAAAGCAAAGGCGGUUAAAGCCGCAGGUGUGGCUGGGGAAGGCCUUUACGAGAGGCUUACUGCGCUCAGCUGUGGCGGCGGCUUGGGUGGAGCCUGGCCUGAGGCGGGGGCUCCCUGUCCAGACCUCUCAGGUUUCCGCUCAGCGUGGGCAGCUCUGGAGGCUGCGGGGAGGGUACAGAACGGAGGAGGAGCGUGAGGAGCCUGUCCCUAUUUUCCUGGGCACGGGGCUCACUCCUGGCACUAGUCCUUCCUGGGGCCCCAGCUCCAGCUUGUUAGUUUUAACUGGAACAAUUUCCUUUGAACUCAGCUUGAAUUAGCAUCACCAUGGCGAUGGAUCAGAGUUUUCACAAGUCGACCUGGUCUUCACCCCUCAAGCAAUUAGUUCGGAGGAGAAAAGUAGGAGGAGGAGGAGGAAGAAGAGGUGGGGAAGAUAAAAGGGUGGCAUGGGGGAUGGGAGGGAGCAGGGAGGAAUGGAACUGGAGAGAAGGAGGAGGGGACAGUAGGGGUGGAGGGGAUGGCUGCCAGAUGAGGAGGGGGAGACGGGAAGAACUGGAGGGAGGAGGGAGAAGAAGAGAAGGAGGGUCAUUCUGACCUGCUGGCUUAGCCUAGGCACGCAGGGGGCACAGUACCCCCCUCCAUGGCCCCACCUAUGGGGAAGGGAGAGAAGCAUGAGGACCGAGCAGCAGCCUUCCACAGGUAGCCUGGGAGGAAAGGUCCACUGUUCACACUUUCUCAGGGGAGACCCAGCAGCCCAACGCCACAAGGUCACUCCCAGGCAGCAAGCUCACCUUCAGCCCCUCCCUCCUGCAGGGACCAGGCUGUGGUAACAAUGGAGAAAGGGGAAGAGCAAACCAGAAUCUUCCAGAAUUUAAUGGAGUUGAGGAUCACUCUUUCUCCAAGACUCUGUCCGUCCCCACCUCCUCCAGGAGGCCCUUGGAUCACCUGCCACCUCUCCAGGCUCCUCACCCCCCGGGACCCUGCCAUCAUCUGUCACCAGCUUCACCCUCAGACCAACCAACAGGAAGCAAUCCUAGAUGGAGACAGGUGAUGAUACGAAAGGCUUGUCCUUGAGGAAACACAUUUAUAUGGAGCAGCCACGGCGUCGCCUUUGUCUAGAGCACCCUGGAGGAGUGUGGGCACAAUAGGCCGGAGGCGAAAGUGCCUUAAUCAGUUAUCCUCUCCCAGGAGCCCCCUUCCACCCUUUGGAGGGUGACCAGGCCAAUGCCCAGGGUCUCACUGUUGCUGGAGAACAGCUCAUGCGACUUUAGGGCCAAAGAGGUAGGCAGGGACUGAGAGAGACUCCUGAGAGCUACCCACCCCUUUCCCGAGCCCAGCCGGCAAGAUGAAUGCCUUGCCGAGGUUUCACUUUCAACUUUCUCCCCUUGGAGGGAGGUUUUAUCUCGGCCAUCACCACCCAGGAAGGCCUGGAAGCACAGCGGGGUGCUCCAGGGCAUCUGCAGCAUUUCAGCCUGCUGCACGCUUGUGCUGAGCUCCGGCUAAGGCCCCACCGUCCCAGCUGGAGACAUCUGAAGACUCCCAGCCCUGGGGUUGAAAGCUCCAGGACUGCGCGGAGGGGCUGCACAGUCCGCAGAGCCCUGGUGCCCGGCCGGGAGGAGGGAUCUUUGGGUUCUGGUCUUGACUUCCUGGGACCCCUGUGGAGCAGGGGAUCCUGUUGGAGCCAGAUCGAGUCAGAUGGCUCAGGCUCCUCGGGGAAGGGGCAGAGCAGCAGGAGGGACCCCACCCAGACAGACAGAGCAGUGGGGUUGGCACAAGCUCUGGACUCUGACAUGUGGCAUUUCAGCCCCGACUCUGCCACUGACCAGCUCUGCUACCUUGGGCUAGUCAGUUCUGCGCCACAGUUUCUCAUCUCUAAGACGGAGACAGUUAUCAGCACUCUGCCCUCUUCAGAGCGAUGCCGCGGGGAUCGAUGAGACGAGAGAAUAAAGGAGUUUGAGCUGCACACAUGAGGCAGAUGAGGCCAUUCCCUCUUCCCUGCAGCCCAGGAUGUGACAGCAGGAGGGACUAGAAAGGCCCUGCACUCAGGAGUAAUUCGGAGGCUCCUGUUUCUCCACAAGGGUCCGGGGUCUGAGUCCCAGCUCCCCUGCUCACGAGCUAGGGAACCUUGACCCAGACAUCUCAGCUCUCUGGGUCUUUGUUGCCUCUUAAUCUUUAAACUGGGAGAGGAAGAGCUGGGACUAAAUGAUUGCCAACCUCUGCAUUUGGUCCCUGGUCCCUCCAACGCAGAUUCCAAGGUCUGAAUUCCCCCUGCUAUCCUCUCUUACUCUCAGCCAAAGGGCGACUGGGGUAGAGGGCACGGGGCUCCUGGUGAACGCGCCCGCUGGCAGGCAGCUGAGAACGGCUGCAGAUGGGGACAGAGGACAGGACUCACCAAGUGCCAGGGAUGGCAAAGGACCCAAAAUGAGCCUACAACCACUCCUUAUAUCACAUGGGCAAGAGAUGGGGCCUUGGAGAUGCCAAAGGGGGAGGCUCCUUUGUUCUGCGGCUCCUUGUGCUAUCUGUCUGUCCUUUCAUUCCAUCUUCCAUUUUCAUUCACUCGCCUGUGCCUGCUGUAAACAUUGAUAAAGCCGUUACAGCACGUCAGGCACCGUCCUGGGUGUUGGGAAUACAGAAUUGAGUAAGUUCACAGCCUCAUGGGGGCCAACGAGAGAUAUAAACAGACGGUUCCUACCCAGAUUGAGCAGUGCUGGGAGAGCAGCCUGCGCUGGGGGCCGCCGGGCACGGAGGAGGGCCUGCGCCCAGCCGCGUGGGACAGCUCCUUCCUCAGACCUCUCACUCAGCUUGCGGAGACGAUGGGAAAAUACAGACGUUGCUUGGUGCCCAACAGCUUAGAGGGUGGUAAAGAAAAAAAAUGCCCGAGAGAAAGGUUACGGGGUAGGAUAAUUAAUGUUUUGCUAAGGAGGAAAAUAUUACUGUGUGUUGCUCAGCAUGCAAACACCUCAACUAACAAAAUGGCUGGGAGAAAACAAGUGGAACUGCAGGAUUUUUCUCACAAAGAUUAAAAGAAAAGAAAAAGACAGCAGUCACAGACAUACCUCCUCCCGUGGCUGAAAGAAUGUUCCCCGCCAGGUGAGGAAAGCAAGGCCCAGCGCUGGGAAGGGCCCAGCUGCCGCUCCUUCCUGGACGAAGGCCGGCCCAGCACACAAACCCCGCACCCCAGCCCCUGGCCCACUGCCAUUUCAUGUUAAGGCUCUCCUCUCAGUGUCUGAGGCCCGGGGAGCUGCUGUACACACUGCUUGACCAUUGUAAGGAAGAAGAGAUUUCUAAUUCCAGAGGGUGCAUCCAGC